AACGCGAAGAACCUUACCAACCCUUGACAUACUUGUCGCGGAUUCCAGAGAUGGAUUCCUUCAGUUCGGCUGGACAAUGUACAGGUGCUGCAUGGCUGUCGUCAGCUCGUGUCGUGAGAUGUUCGGUUAAGUCCGGCAACGAGCGCAACCCACGUCCUUAGUUACCAGCAUUUAGUUGGGUACCCUAAGGAGACUGCCGGUGAUAAGCCGGAGGAAGGUGUGGACGACGUCAAGUCAUCAUGGCCCUUACGGGUUGGGCUACACACGUGCUACAAUGGCAUCUACAGUGAGUUAAUCUCCAAAAGAUGUCUCAGUUCGGAUUGGGGUCUGCAACUCGACCCCAUGAAGUUGGAAUCGCUAGUAAUCGCGUAACAGCAUGACGCGGUGAAUACGUUCCCGGGUCUUGUACACACCGAAU
rnacentral:rRNA from 1 species